UAGAUGGAAAUCAGUUCUCUUCUG
rnacentral:piRNA from 1 species